GGCAGUGGUAGUACAGUGGUUAAGACCUUGUGUUGCUAAUUGGAAGAUCGUGAGUUCAAACCACAGCCUUGCCA